GCAGGCUUAACACAUGCAAGUCGAGGGGUAUGCUUCUUCGGGAGCAGAGACCGGCGCACGGGUGCGUAACGCGUAUGCAAUCUACCUUUUACAGAGGGAUAGCCCAGAGAAAUUUGGAUUAAUACCUCAUAGCAUUGCAGGAUGGCAUCAUCCAGCAAUUAAAGUCACAACGGUAAAAGAUGAGCAUGCGUCCCAUUAGCUAGUUGGUAAGGUAACGGUUUACCAAGGCUACGAUGGGUAGGGGUCCUGAGAGGGAGAUCCCCCACACUGGUACUGAGACACGGACCAGACUCCUACGGGAGGCAGCAGUGAGGAAUAUUGGACAAUGGGCGCAAGCCUGAUCCAGCCAUGCCGCGUGCAGGAUGACGGUCCUAUGGAUUGUAAACUGCUUUUAUACGAGAAGAAACACUACUUCGUGAAGUAGCUUGACGGUAUCGUAAGAAUAAGGAUCGGCUAACUCCGUGCCAGCAGCCGCGGUAAUACGGAGGAUCCAAGCGUUAUCCGGAAUCAUUGGGUUUAAAGGGUCCGUAGGCGGUUUAAUAAGUCAGUGGUGAAAGCCCAUCGCUCAACGGUGGAACGGCCAUUGAUACUGUUAAACUUGAAUUAUUAGGAAGUAACUAGAAUAUGUAGUGUAGCGGUGAAAUGCUUAGAGAUUACAUGGAAUACCAAUUGCGAAGGCAGGUUACUACUAAUGGAUUGACGCUGAUGGACGAAAGCGU
rnacentral:rRNA from 1 species